GAACUAGUUAUUGUGAUGAGCACAGAGGGAUCCAGCACUGAUGCAGGGUUCUGAGAUUGAUGUAACAUGUGAGAUGGAGGAGAAAGUGGCUCCCUUGGAGUCUGAUGAUGGAACUUCCACUUCUGGGCAUCAGCCUCCCACCCCUUUCCAUCCAGAAGCCCC